rnacentral:tRNA from 1 species
GAGGGUAUAGCUCAGUGGUAGAGCGCAAGCUUAGCAUACACGAGGUCCUGGGUUUGACCCCCCAGUACCUCCA